AAGUGGUACUUGUAGUGUCAAUACUGCAGGUCAUCCUGGUACAAGAAGGUGGUACUUGUAGUACCAACAUCAGUGUCAGAAAACUUUCAAUGUCACCAUGGGCUGUCACUCAUGGACCGUCACCAUGGACUGUCACCAUGGACUAUCACCACGGACUAUCACCACGGACUAUCACCAUGGACUAUCACCACAGACUAUCACCACAGACUAUCACCACGGACAGUCUUCCCACAAUAUACUAACCAUGGUUCUAAAUAAUUUUGGUAAGCCGAGGCCACGGUCACAGAUGGCUCUGCUAAGAGCCGUCUGUGGCCAUGGUGUGGGUCCAUAGACUGGAAAUUAUCUCCUCUGUCAACCAUUGUAUUUUUCAAAAAUGAUCAUUCUGUUAUCUUCUUGCUUCUCCCACCAUUAAUACAUUUAUAAUGCCACUAUGGAUAAUUCUUUAAUUGUAGUUGUAUUUGAUGUACAAUAAAACUGAUGAUUCUU